UUAUCCAUUCGUCUCCACCUCCACCGCUCUCGUUCUAUUCUAUCUUUCCAUCUCUCCGCUCUCACAUCCCUGCCGAGCACCCGUUGCUUCCAGCCGGCCUGACGAGUGGCGACUGUUGACGAGCUAUCACUGGAAACCCUGGCGACUACCCCACAGGCCGCUUCCCCCGGUAGUGCGCCGCUACCAGCAACCCCAUCUCCAGCUCCUCCCCCUCGCCGUCAUCGGAGUCCGGAGGCCACCACCAUGCGAAGCCUCCGUCGUGGCGGUGGCGCCGGGCGGGGCUUCUCGUCGCCUCCCGGCUGGCCCGUGCGUGCGCCCCCUCGUGGCGGUCAGCUCAGCGCUCCGUACGUGCGUCGGUGCGUCUCUUUGUGGCAGAUCCGGGGCGGCUGUGCUCCCAUGGCCAAACCCGUGACUCCUGCGCGGCGCCUUGCCCCUCCGCUUCCUUCAAAGGAGGCCCGGUGCGGCGCAUCCUCGAUCUACAUCAUCCGGCUCCACCCACCCUCCCUCCUCGACCUCCCGGUGACAGUGGCUCGGCCCGGCCAUCCUAGAUGCCACAUCCCCACGCGUGUGCCCGGCCGUCGGAUCUGGUGAAAGCAAGGAUCGGCCCCUAUAGGCGAAUCGGAAGAGAAGAGAGCGGGUCGUCGCCUGCAACCGCCGCUCAUGGACGCCCGUGUUGUUCAUCAGGUAAAUCGGGAAAGAACACGGCGAGGUGAAUCAGGCAGGUGGCGGCGGCGGAAGGAGCCUCCCGUCGAGCCGCCCGCCUCCGGAUACGCCUCCCCAGCCCCUGCCGCGCAUGAAUCCGGCCCUUGCAAUCUCCAGCCGCCGCCUUCGCUCGAGCCACCGCGCCGCCCCCAGCCGCUCGAGCCACCGCGUUGACCCGAUCCAGAAGCUGGGCUUGAGCGGCGGCGCGACGGCGGGUCGAGUUCCGGCGGAUUCCGGCGGGGCGACGACGGGGCGGAGUUCGGCGGCGCGCGGCGGCGUUGCAGGGCGUGGCGGCGCUGGAGGUGGAUGAGAUUGGGGUUCAUGGGUCGUUCGUGUGGCUAGGUUUUUUUUUUCUUUCCAGGGGGACCGCGGGUUGAAUUCUUAAAACGGCAGGGUUCUUUUUGUAAUAACGAAACGUUUUCUGAGAUAGCAACUUAAAAAGGGACUGCGGGUUGAAUUCUUGAAAAUAGAGGGGCUUUUUUGCAAAAGUGACGACGACGUACGACCAGAAGCACUCCUUGCUUUAUUAGUAGGGAAAGAAAUAAAGGUAGAGAGUAGAGAUUAAGGUAUAAAGAUAAAGAUAAUAAAUUAAUUAGUUAGAUAAAGAUAAAGAUAAAGAUAAAUAUAGAUGUGAAAUAAAAUAAAUAAAAUAAACGCGGGCCUGGCCAAGGCGUGCGUUUAGCCACGUGCCGUGCCGGGUAUGCAUCACGCCAGGCACGGCCCUAGCCACAAAUCGAACCCUAACUAAGAAAUCUCAUCCCCCCAUCCCAGCCGCCACACCGCCCACAGCGCAGGCACAGGCGAGCAAGAGAAGGCAACGGCGCGACGGCACGACAACGGGGCGGCCGCAAGAGCAGCGGAUCAGCGCGCGGGGAGCGGCGGCGACUCUGCGCGUGGGCGGUGGCUCGCGAAGAGCAUCAAUGCACAGAUCUCGGUGAACGUUGAGCAUUCUGUCGUCGAAGAUGGUGCACGUCGAGCUCGACCUUGCGGACGAGUGGUCCGAGUCCGACGUCUCGGAAGAUGUCUCCGACUCCGAAGUGGGCGACGGCCUGGACUGGCUCGACACCGUCGAGAGCCAUGAUGGUUCAGCCCGGCUAUCCGCCGCCUUCUCGACCGUCGGAGGCGCGGCAGCGGCGCGGAGGCCGAAUGCGCACGGCGGCGUGCUCUCCCGCCCCUUUCAGCCGCUCUCCAAUCGCACGCAGAAGCUCGCCUCCCACAUCCGGGCCACGCCCUUGGAGGAGUGGGAAGGUAGAAUGAACGUGGGGAUGUCAAAUUCGGUAACGACUGCAAUCAGGGACAGCAUAAGGGACACAUCAAUUGGCAAAAUAAGGAACCAUGAGAAGGCCGAUCGUGCUACGGUGGAACAGGCCAUUGACCCAAGAACACGCAUGGUUUUGUUCAAGAUGUUGAACAGUGGUGUUUUUAAUAAUAUAAAUGGUUGCAUUUCUACAGGAAAAGAGGCAAAUGUCUAUCAUGCAACAAAGAUAGAUGGCCAGGAGCUAGCAAUCAAAGUCUAUAAAACCUCUGUCCUUGUCUUUAAGGAUAGAGACAGAUAUGUUCAAGGAGAUUAUCGUUUUAGAUAUGGUUACUGCAAGCAUAAUCCCCGGAAAAUGGUUAAGACCUGGGCUGAAAAGGAAAUGAGAAAUCUUAAACGAGUGGCAGCAGCUAAAAUUCGAUGCCCAGCACCAUUGCUCCUGAAGCUUCAUGUAUUGGUGAUGGAAUUCAUAGGGAAAGGAGGUUGGGCUGCUCCUCGUCUUAAGGAUGCUGCUUUGUCGGUUGACAAGCUGCGUGAAGCUUACUUUGAGAUUGUUACGAUAAUGAGGACACUUUAUCAAAAGUGCAAGCUGGUCCAUGGCGAUUUGAGUGUAUAACAUUCUUUAUUUUAAGGGCCACUUAUAUAUCAUUGAUGUUUCGCAAUCUGUUGAUGUUGAUCACCCUUUGGCGUUGGACUUAUUAAAGGAAGAUUGUUUGCAUGUUUCUGACUUCUUUCUGAAACGAGGUGUCGCUGUCAUGACAGUAAUGGAUCUAUUUAAUUUUGUGAUUGAUCAAAACAUUGCGGAUGACGAUGUAGAUGAUUACUUAGAAAAGGUUCAGCAGAAGAUGUUGGAGAAUGGAGAUACACUCGCAAAUGAUGAUGACAUAUCUCCAACAGUCAUGGUGCAGACGUUGGAUUAUGUGAAGCAGUGUGAGGCUGAUAUAGUCAACAUGUCAAUGUUGCAACGACCAUCCCUGUGUUACGAGCCACCAGCGGAUAAGCUUUAUAACCAGCCAUUGCUAGGAUUUGUGCGGGCUGAAAAAAACAAGCGUACUGCUGAAAAGCAGAAAAAACAGUUGCCACAUAAUAAGUGCUCAUUGCUAAGUAGUGGAUCUUGCUCUAGUUCUGGUGAAGAUUCGAGGUAUGAGGCUGAUCCCAAGAUGGGACCUGAGGAGAGGAAGGCUGCUCGGAAGGAGGAGAAGAAGAAAGUGAAAGAAGAGAAGAGAGAAGCUCGGAAGACGAAGGAGCCGAAAGCCGAUAAGAAGAGGAGGAAGAAAAUGGCAAAAGCGAAGUGCAAGAGGUAGCAAUCUCUGGUUGAUUUAAUUCUGUGAGAGCCUGUAUGAUUGAGUGUUUAUAACGAGUAAGGACGAUGCUUCCUCAGCGAUAACGCAAACAAAUGUCAUUGGAUUCUCAGUUGUGUUUUUUUUUGUUCAUUCCGCUUUUUAAAUUGCGCAGCCCUGAAGUGCAGUAGUGUCUAGCUACCUUGUAAAUGGUGCCUUGUCAAUUGUCAUCAGAUUUAAAAUUUCCA